CGCUGGCGGCGUGCUUAACACAUGCAAGUCGAACGAGAGGACAAGAGAAGCUUGCUUCUUUGGAAUCGAGUGGCAAACGGGUGAGUAACACGUAAACAACCUGCCUUCAGGAUGGGGACAACAGACGGAAACGACUGCUAAUACCGAAUACGCUUGGGAGACCGCAUGAUCUACCAAGGAAAGGGUGGCCUCUACCUGUAAGCUAUCGCCUGAAGAGGGGUUUGCGUCUGAUUAGGCAGUUGGUGAGGUAACGGCCCACCAAACCUACGAUCAGUAGCCGGUCUGAGAGGAUGAACGGCCACACUGGAACUGAGACACGGUCCAGACUCCUACGGGAGGCAGCAGUGGGGGAAUCUUCCGCAAUGGGCGAAAGCCUGACGGAGCAACGCCGCGUGAGUGAUGACGGCCUUCGGGUUGUAAAGCUCUGUGAUCGGGGACGAACGGUCCGUAAGCUAAUACCUUAUGGAAGUGACGGUACCCGAAUAGCAAGCCACGGCUAACUACGUG
rnacentral:rRNA from 1 species